rnacentral:tRNA from 1 species
GUUAAUGUAGCUUAAAUUUUACUAA